CAGGCCUAACACAUGCAAGUCGAACGGCAGCACGGACUUCGGUCUGGUGGCGAGUGGCGAACGGGUGAGUAAUGUAUCGGAACGUGCCCAGUAGCGGGGGAUAACUACGCGAAAGCGUAGCUAAUACCGCAUACGCCCCACGGGGGAAAGCAGGGGAUCGCAAGACCUUGCACUAUUGGAGCGGCCGAUAUCGGAUUAGCUAGUUGGUGGGGUAAUGGCUCACCAAGGCGACGAUCCGUAGCUGGUUUGAGAGGACGACCAGCCACACUGGGACUGAGACACGGCCCAGACUCCUACGGGAGGCAGCAGUGGGGAAUUUUGGACAAUGGGGGAAACCCUGAUCCAGCCAUCCCGCGUGUGCGAUGAAGGCCUUCGGGUUGUAAAGCACUUUUGGCAGGAAAGAAAUGGCGUGUGUUAAUACCAUGCGCAGAUGACGGUACCUGCAGAAUAAGCACCGGCUAACUACGUGCCAGCAGCCGCGGUAAU
rnacentral:rRNA from 1 species